UUGUUUGUGCAUUGCUGCUUUACUAAUCAAGUCUGGGUGCGAUUUAAGGCAUGGACUGGAGCUGAUUUUCAGAUUCCAGAUGACAGUUUCAGCACGACGGAGGAUUGGUGGCUGAAGGCCAGGGUGGCAAUCCCUAAACACACGAGGCGGAACUUUGACACUAUCGUGAUUCUGUUGCACUGGAGGAUCUGGAAGGAAAGAAAUGCGAUGAUUUUUGAAAACAUUGCCAGUACAGCGGACAGAGUUUUGGACCAGAUUAUCGAAGACAUUGGCAUGUGGAGGGCUGCGGGAUGCAUUAGUGACUUGCCAACUUAG
rnacentral:rRNA from 1 species